UGCAGGAGGCGGUCAGAUCCCGCCUGGGGAGAGGCCGGUUCUAGCCUGGCAAGGCUGGGGGCAUGACUUGGGGUGAGGUUUGCCUAAAAAUAGAAACUUAACAGACGACAGCAGGCCCUGGCUGGCCUCCCAGUAAAGGGCUAGGAAGUCACCAGGGUCAGGCUGGAUCCCACAGAAGCAUCGCGGGCGCGUGGCUGCAAGGCGAGGGCCAUGAAGGCCCCGAGCACUCCAGGAUGCAUUAGAAGUUACCUCCUAGCAACUGAAGCAACAGAACGAGUGGAGAAGAUUAACAGCUAUGAUUGUAUACAACUAUUCAGAACUUCUUCACGGCAAACUGAUAAAACUAAAACCCAAGACCAGCGACCUAGGAAGAAUCACGGCAAGGAUACACUGGAAAGCGACCUCUUUGUCAUGUUAAUAAUACCUUAGCUGGGUAUUUUAUAUGGGGAAAGGACUCAGUCGAGGAAUUCAUGUGAAAAGUAAUUUAACCGGUAAAACACAAAGUGAACAAAGCGUGGCCUCAUCAGCAAUCGACGAAAGCAGGAUGGAGGGAUCAUGGGCUGCCAGCACUUCAUUUACCCAGGACACCAGGAAGGCUGCGGAAGAGCGACACCUGACACAGGUACAACUUGCAUCCAGUAAAAUCCGUGCUUUGGGGCAUGCAGUCGAUGAGAACUUAGAAACGCAUACAGUCCUGUAGCCAAUAUCAAUUGUGAGUAAAGCCGUGGUGAACAUUCAUGUCCAGGUUUUUGUGGGAACCUAAGUUUCUGUUUCUCCCGGGGAAAUGCCUGGGCAUGGGAUUUCUGGCUCCUAGGACAGGUGUAUGUUUAACUUUACAGGUUAAACAUUUUUAAACAGUUUCCAAAGUCACUGCGCUGUUUUGUAUUUUGAAAUAAUCACAGACUGACAGGCAGUUGCAAAAAUUGUACAGGGUGCCAUGCACCCUUUUCCCCGAUUCCCCCAAUGGUGACAUCUUACGUGACUGUGGGACAAUAUCAAACUGGGACACUGCUGCUGGCCCGAUGCUCACCGGGCUCAGGUUCUACCAGCCCUCCCACGACUCAUAUGUGUGCAGACGGGACGUUUGUCACCACUCACCCCUCCAGGAAGGUCUGGUCUAAACGUUGCCUGUCCCGGCCGCUAUCCCUGACUGAGAUCCAAGUUCCUUUCUCCUGCAUCCCUCACCCAGCCAGGACACCUGCCUGCAGACCUGCCCCCACGUCACCAUGACCACCCCCAUUGACAUCUGUGGCUGGAUCAUUCUCGGGGGCGCCGUCCUGAGCACUGUAGGGGUUUGAGCAGCAACCCCGGCCCCCACCCACUCAAUGUCAGGAGCUCCCCCAGUUGUGACAGCCACAGAUGUCCCCAGACUUCGCCCAGUGUCCCCAGGGGCCAGAAUCUAAGGCUUUUGUGGAACUCUCUUAUCAGAAGAAACCCAGCAGCUAAAAGAGGUUCAUUUAGGCAAAAUGCAAACAGUUUUUUGGAAUUGAAAUGGUCCAGUUUGAAGUGAAAUGGUACUGAAUGGAACAGAAGUUUGUUUCAAAGAGGGUUUAAAUUUCUCAGCAUCUGAGAAUUCCCUGGCGGUCCACUGGUUAGAACUCUGUGCUCUCACUACUGAGGGGGCGGGUUCAAUCCCUGGUCAAGGAACUAAGAUCCCACAAGCUGCUUGGCCUGGCCAGAAAAAAAAAAAAAAAGAAUUUCUUAGCAUCCAACAACCUCUGUGGCUGGGAGAAGUCACACGGGGCCAGAGUUUCAGAGUUUCCCUCAAACUCAACCAAGAACACAUUUGAAGGAGGAAAGAGCACAGCCCUGGGGGAAGAGAGGAGGAGGCAGAGCCCCUGUGGAAAGUGGCAGACCUGCAUUCUGCCCCAGCUCCCAAAGCUGUGUGGUUUUGGGAAAGUUACCUCCCCCCUCUGAGCUCCACUGAACUCUGCUCAAUGCUUAGAGUGACACUCCCUCUCGGCGCAGGGCGUGGCCAACAUCCAGGUCCCCAAGUUCCUAUGUUGGGGGAUGGAGGCCCCAGAGGCUGGCAGCCACGGAGAGGGCCCUCCUUCAGGAACCUGUGGCAACUGCCACAUAUAAACACAGCUGCAGGGGAGGAGGGACGAGAGACGAGGUGCCUGGACCUUCUCUGCACAGUGAGCGCGCACUAGCCGGUUUGCUGGAAGCUACUGAGAAAUCUCCCUGCCCUCAGACUUUGCUGGCACCACGGUGGCCACACCACUCAUCUGCCCAGGAGCCAGGUGGGGCAGGGCGUCACAAAGCCCACCUGGCCUGGGGGGAAGUGGGGCAGAGUCUGAAGUGGAUUGUAUUAAAACUAGGAGUGGAGGGACUUCCCUGGUGGAGUGGUGGUUAAGAAUCCGCCUGCCAAUGCAGGGGACACGGGUUCGAACACUGGCCCUGGAAGAUCCCACGUGCUGAGGAGCAACUAAGCCCGUGCGCCACAACUACUGAGCCUGUGCUCUAGAGCCCGCGAGCUACAACUACUGAGCCCACGUGCCACAACUACCGAGCCCGCAAGUCACAACUACUGAAGCCAGCAUGCCUAGAGCCCAUCCGUGCUCUUCAACAAGAGAAGCCACCGCAAUGAGAAAGCCGCACACCUCAACGAAGAAUAGCCCCCGCUCACCACAACUAGAGAAAGCCCAUGCACAGCAACAAAGACCCAACGCAGGCAAAAAUAAAUAAAUAAAUAAAUAAAUUUAAAAAAUAAAUAAAAGCUGAGCAUGGAUCUCCUUCUGUCGUUCUGUGGCUCUAAGACCAUGCUGAUCUAUUGAUACAUUCAUGGCCUCCUCCUCAGCAACCUGGAUUUUGUAUUAAAACCUCUAUCUGCAGAUUUCACUCCAAUGAUGGUGGGCCAGCUCAUGUGGAUGCUCUCCUGACGAGGGCAACUAGCAAAGCUUCAUGGAAUGGAGAAGCUUGAAGGCACUGGCGGGCUAUUAAGAUAGUGAAGAGUUCCAUCCAGCAUCUGGGGAGGAUGUAAACCCAGGAGUCUGGCUUUGGGGCCGCUUUUUAUUGGGGUGGAGGGUUUGCUAAGAGGCCAAGUAGCUAUUGCCCUCACAAGGCUAGGGGCUCAGAGAUUGAGAUCCAGGGCCUCCUAAGGGGAGAGAGAUUGGGGAAUUCCCCCUUGGUAUGAGCUGGGACAAAAGAGUCCUGCCUUCUAAGAAAAGGGUCCACAGGAAGCAGACAGGCCCUCACAGUGACUGUAGCUGAGUUCUGAAUAACCUCAGUCCCUGAUACUGGAUUGAGGUGAACUUAGAUUGUAGCAGCCCUAGAUGCUGGACAGAAGUAAAAACGAAUCCUUUCUGGUGGAAAACAACAUCAUCUUAGGCUUCGAAUUAUUUCUACAAACAAGUCAGCAGUUACAAUAUCUAGCACACAAUCAGAAUUGACCAGGCAUAGAAGACAGGACCACACGAACAAAAAUCAGCAGAAAUAACAGACUAUACAAACAGGCUCCCAGGGGUUUGAUACACUGGAAUUGACAGACUUAAAAAUAACUAUAUUAAUUAUGUUAAAUAUGUGAGGUUGGAAUUUUAGCAGCGAAUUGGAAACUAAAGAAAAAGACUGAAUGGAUGUGUGGAAACUGACAAUAUCUGAAAUGAACACAAUGGAAGAAGCAGUAUCAUUAAAGAUAACUAAAGAGAAAAUUAGUGAACUAGAAGAUAGGAAAUAUCCAGAAUGAAGCAUGGACCACAUGAGACAAGGUAUAAGACACAGAGGAUGCAGUAAGUUCUGACACACAUGUAAUUGGAGCUCUGGAAGGAGGAGACAGAGAAAGGGGAAGAAGCAAUCUUGGAAGAGAUAGUGAUGGAUGAUUUCCCAAAACUGAUUAAAAAAAGAAAAAGGACUCUAAGCCACAGAUUCAAGAAGCCCUAGAACCUCAGGCAGGAAAAACAUUUUAGAAAUUGACAGAGAAAUGACCAAUGAGCACCUGAAAAGGUGCUCAAUGAUUAGUCACCAGGGCAAGUAUAAAUGAAAACCAUCGUGGGAGGCUGCUUCACAGCCCUCCUGUGUCAGGUCUUAGUUGUGGCACACGGGCUCUUUAGUUAUGGCGCUUGGGCUUAGUUGCCUCGUGGCACGUGGGAUCUUAGUUCCACAACCAGGGAUCAAACCUGCGUCCCCUGCAUUGGAUUCUCAACCGCUGGGCCACCAAGGAAGUCUCAUUUUUACUCUAAUUCUUUUUUUUUUUUUUUUUUUUUGUGGUACACGGGCCUCUCACUGUUGUGGCCUCUCCCGUUGCGGAGCACAGGCUCCAGAUGCGCGGGCUCAGCGGCCAAGGCUCACGGGCCCAGCCGCUCUGCGGCACUUGGGAUCCUCCCAGACUGGGGCACGAACCUGUGUCUGCUGCAUUGGCAGGCGGACUCUCAACCACUGUGCCACCAGGGAAGACCUACUCUA